UACAGAGGGUGCGAGCGUUAAUCGGAAUCACUGGGCGUAAAGCGUAUGUAGGCGGGCUUCUAAGUCAGGUGUGAAAUCCCAUGGCUCAACCAUGGAAUUGCAUUUGAAACUGGAAGUCUUGAGUGUGGGAGAGAUUGGUAGAAUACCUGGUGUAGUGGUGAAAUACGUAGAUACCAGGUGGAAUACCGGUGGCGAAGGCGGCCAAUUGGCCCAACACUGACGCUGAGAUACGAAAGCGUGGGGAUCAAACAGG
rnacentral:rRNA from 1 species